AGGUUAAGUUAAUAAGGGCGCAUGGUGGAUGCCUUGGCACUAGAAGGCGAUGAAGGACGUGACUAACUACGAUAUGCCUCGGUUAGCUGUAAGUAAGCUUACCCGGGGGUUUCCGAAUGGGGCAACCCGAUCUUAAUGAUCAUCAUCUUUUUGAAUUCAUAGAUUAGAUGAAGCAAACGCUGUGAACUGAAACAUCUAAGUAGCAGUAGGAAAGUAAAGAAAUUUCGAUUCCGUCAGUAGCGGCGAGCGAACGCGGAAGAGCCCAAACCUGGAUGCUUGCAUCCAGGGGUUGUAGGACUGAUGUUGAGUUACAAAGGUAUAAGAUAGCAGAAACAGUUGGGAAGCUGUUCCAAAGAGGGUGACAGGCCCGUAUGCGAAAUCUUGUACUCUCUAAUCAGGAUCCUGAGUACGGCCCAGCACGUGAAAUUGGGUCGGAAUCUGGGAGGACCAUCUCCCAAGGCUAAAUACUAACUAGUGACCGAUAGCGAACAAGUACCGUGAGGGAAAGGUGAAAAGAACCCCGGAAGGGGAGUGAAAUAGUUCUUGAAACCGUGUGCUUACAAGAAGUUCGAGGCCGUUAAUGGCUGAGAGCGUGCUUUUUGUAGAAUGAACCGGAGAGUUACGAUUGCGUGCAAGGUUAAGGUGCAAAGACUGGAGCCGUAGCGAAAGCGAGUCUUAAUAGGGCGAAUCAGUACGUAGUUGUAGACCCGAAACCGAGUGACCUAUCCAUGGUCAGGUUGAAGGUGGGGUAAUACCUACUGGAGGACCGAACAAGUGGGUGUUAAAAAACCCUUUGAUGAACUGUGGAUAGCGGUGAAAUUCCAAUCGAACUCGGAGAUAGCUGGUUCUAUCCGAAAUACAUUUAGGUGUAGCCUUGCAAUUAGCUUACUGGAGGUAGAGCACUAUUUGGUCUAGGGGCCCUUCAAGGGUUACCAAAAUCAGAUAAACUCCGAAUGCCAGCUAAGUAUGUGCAGGAGUCAGACGGUGAGUGAUAAGAUCCAUCGUCAAAAGGGGAACAGCCCAGAUCACCAGUUAAGGUCCCUAAAUAUAUGCUAAGUGGAAAACGUUGUGAAGGUGCAUAGACAACUAGGAGGUUGGCUCAGAAGCAGCCACCCUUUAAAGAGUGCGUAAUAGCUCACUAGUCGAGUGCUCUUGCGCGGAUAAUGUACCGGGGCUAAGCAUAUUACCGAAACUGUGGAUGCGUAAGCAUGGUAGGAUAGCGUAAUUAACGCGAUGAAGGAUGACCGUAAGGACAUGUUGGAGCGUUAACUAGUGAGAAUUCCGGUAUGAGUAGCGAAAGAUAGGUGAGAAUCCUAUCCACCGAAUGAGUAAGGUUUCCCCCGGAAGGCUCGUCCGCGGGGGGUUAGUCGGGACCUAAGGCGAGGCUGAAAAGCGUAGUCGAUGGACAACAGGUUGAUAUUCCUGUACCGAUAUUUAAUUGCCGAAGGAAGGACGCAGAAGGAUAACACAGGCCACUAUUGGAUGUGGUUUUAAACAGUUAGUCUUCAUAAGAGUCAAAUGCUUUUAUGUUUAAGGAUAAGCUG
rnacentral:rRNA from 1 species